rnacentral:rRNA from 1 species
AAUCAACGCUGGCGGCGUGCCUAAUACAUGCAAGUCGAACGCGAAAGUCCCGCAAGGGAUCAGUAGAGUGGCAAACGGGUGAGUAACACGUGGGUGACCUGCCUUCGAGCGGGGGAUAACGUUCCGAAAGGGACGCUAAUACCGCAUGAUAUCCUGCCUUUGAACAGGUGGAGAUUAAAGCUGGGGAUCGCAAGACCUAGCGCUUGAAGAGGGGCCCGCGCCCGAUUAGCAGUUGGUGGGGUAACGGCUCACCAAGGCAACGAUCGGUAGCCGGCCUGAGAGGGCGGACGGCCACACUGGGACUGAGACACGGCCCAGACUCCUACGGGAGGCAGCAGUAGGGAAUUGUUCGCAAUGGGCGCAAGCCUGACGACGCAACGCCGCGUGGAGGAUGAAGAUCUUCGGGUCGUAAACUCCUUUCGAUUGGGACGAAUUUCCCGGGAGUGAAUAAUUCCCGGGGUUGACGGUACCGAGAGAAGAAGCCCCGGCUAACUCCGUGCCAGCA